AUGACAUGAUUGACCCAGUAAGAAGUCACCAUGACAUGAUUGAAUCCUGGACUCAUCAACAUCACAGGAAGAGAGGGGCUUUGGGGAUUAAGUCUGAAAUAACGGAAGAGCUCCCAUUCAAACCAUGUGACCAGAGGAGAAAAGUGGAUAUAUUUUGCCUAUAGUAGAGGCCCUAUGUAAAGCCGUCUAAACAAGCUGUGGAAGAAAGUCACCAUGAGGACAGCAGGAGGAAAAGCCACCUUCUUAAUGCCAAGAGGAUGAAGUUUUCUGUGGACCAAUAUGAAAAGCAUCUUUGAAGCAAUACGAAGAGCAAACAUAUACAGAACAACAUGACUCCUAAAUCUGUUGUUUAUAUCUUAAUUGAAUAUGUGGUCAGUGGUAAAGAUAAAAUUAGGUGGUUAACAAGAAGGCCUCAAGCAUGUGUGCCUGUGCUUAUAUGUGCUUUUUAAACCAGUCACUCAUUCUUUCCUUCUUUCUAUACCAGAUCUCACUCUGGAUGCCUGAUACUACCCCAAAUAUAGUGUCAUUCACUUCCAGACCAAGUCAUGCUGCCUCAUUCAACCUCAUUUGCUAUAAAAUUGGGAGACUUUUAACGUCAUUUUAGCUCUUCAGUAUGAUAACCAAGAUGCCUCUUGGAUAGCUCCUUCCAAAUAUGUGUUAACCAAGUUAUUUUCUCUGAUCAAAAUGAUGCAGAGAUCAUAUAAUUAUUUGUCAUUACACUCCCUGGUUUAUAAACACCGGUUUGGG